rnacentral:rRNA from 1 species
AGGUAGUGCCUCAAGUAUUACCGUCGGGGGUAGAGCACUGGAUGGGCUAGGGGGGCGCGAGCCUUACCAAACCUAACCAAACUCCGAAUACCGAUGAGUAGAGCACGGCAGACAGACCAUGGGUGCUAAGGUCCAUGGUCGAAAGGGAAACAGCCCAGACCUCCAGCUAAGGUCCCUAAAUUGUGGCUAAGUGGGAAAGGAUGUGGGAAGGCCAAGACAGCCAGGAGGU